GCCAGGCACGGUGGCUCGUGCCUGUAAUCCUAGCACUUUGGGAGGCUGAGGUGGGUGGAUCACCUGAGGUCAGGAGUUCCAGACUAGCCUGGCCAACAUGGUGAAACCUCAACUCUA
rnacentral:sRNA from 1 species